AGAGUUUGAUCAUGGCUCAGGAUGAACGCUAGCUACAGGCUUAACACAUGCAAGUCGAGGGGAAACGACAUCGAAAGCUUGCUUUUGAUGGGCGUCGACCGGCGCACGGGUGAGUAACGCGUAUCCAACCUGCCCACCACUUGGGGAUAACCUUGCGAAAGUAAGACUAAUACCCAAUGAUAUCUCUAGAAGACAUCUGAAAGAGAUUAAAGAUUUAUCGGUGAUGGAUGGGGAUGCGUCUGAUUAGCUUGUUGGCGGGGUAACGGCCCACCAAGGCAACGAUCAGUAGGGGUUCUGAGAGGAAGGUCCCCCACACUGGUACUGAGACACGGACCAGACUCCUACGGGAGGCAGCA
rnacentral:rRNA from 1 species